GACGAACGCUGGCGGCGUGCUUAACACAUGCAAGUCGAACGAUGAAGCCGGAGCUUGCUCUGGUGAAUUAGUGGCGAACGGGUGAGUAACACGUGAGUAACCUGCCCUUGACUCUGGGAUAACUGCGGGAAACUGUAGCUAAUACCGGAUACGACCCUCGGAGGCAUCUCCUGGGGGUGGAAAGAAUUUCGGUCAAGGAUGGACUCGCGGCCUAUCAGCUAGUUGGUGAGGUAAAGGCUCACCAAGGCGACGACGGGUAGCCGGCCUGAGAGGGUGACCGGCCACGCUGGGACUGAGACACGGCCCAGACUCCUACGGGAGGCAGCAGUGGGGAAUAUUGCACAAUGGGCGUAAGCCUGAUGCAGCAACGCCGCGUGAGGGAUGACGGCCUUCGGAUUGUAAACCUCUUUUAGCAGGGAAGAAGCGAAAGUGACGGUACCUGCAGAAAAAGCACCGGCUAACUACGUGCCAGCAGCCGCGGUAA
rnacentral:rRNA from 1 species